AUUGAACGCUGGCGGCAGGCCUAACACAUGCAAGUCGGGCGAGCGGCGGACGGGUGAGUAAUGUAUGGGAAUCUGCCCGAUGGCGGGGGAUAACUACUGGAAAGGGUAGCUAAUACCGCAUACCAUCGGAUGAGCCUAGAUCGGAUAAGCUAGGAGGUGGGGUAACGGCUCCUCUAGGCGACGAUCCCUAGCUGGUCUGAGAGGAUGACCAGCCACACUGGAACUGAGACACGGUCCAGACUCCUACGGUAGGCAGCAGUUGGGAAUAUGGCACAAUGGGCGCAAUCCUGAUGCAGCGAGGCCGCGUGUAUGAGGAAGGCCUUCGGGUUGUAAAGUUCUUUCGGUAGCGAUGCGUUACCUACAGAAGAAGCACCGGCUAACUACGUGCCAGCAGCCGCGGUAAUAC
rnacentral:rRNA from 1 species